UACGUAGGGGGCUAGCGUUGUCCGGAAUCAUUGGGCGUAAAGCGCGUGUAGGCGGUCCGGUAAGUCCGCUGUGAAAGUCGGGGGGCUCAACCCUCGGAUGCCGGUGGAUACUGUCGGGCUUGAGUACGGAAGAGGCGAGUGGAAUUCCUGGUGUAGCGGUGGAAUGCGCAGAUAUCAGGAGGAACACCGGUGGCGAAGGCGGGUCUCUGGGCAGUAACUGACGCUGAGGCGCGAAAGCGUGGGGAGCAAACAGA
rnacentral:rRNA from 1 species